GACGUAGGGCGCGAGCGUUGUCCGGAUUUAUUGGGCGUAAAGAGCUCGUAGGCGGCUCGUUGCGUCGGCUGUGAAAACCCGCAGCUCAACUGUGGGCUUGCAGCUGAUACGGGCGGGCUGGGGUUCGGUAGGGGAGACUGGAAUUCCUGGUGUAGCGGUGAAAUGCGCAGAUAUCAGGAGGAACACCGGUGGCGAAGGCGGGUCUCUGGGCCGAUACUGACGCUGAGGAGCGAAAGCGUGGGGAGCGAACAGG
rnacentral:rRNA from 1 species